CUCCCAUCUCAACCAACGCACUCGGUGUGGUGGGGCACACCUGAGGUCCCAUUUACACAGGAGUCAUAAGUAGGAGGAUCGCGGUCCAGGGCUUGUGAUAGCAAAACCAGAAACUCUGCAUGAAAAUUAACAAAAGCAAAAUGGGCCAGA